AGCGUUGCUCGGAUUGACUGGGCGUAAAGGGCGCGUAGGCGGUUCGUACAGUCAGACGUGAAAUUCCUGGGCUCAACCUGGGGGCUGCGUUUGAUACGUGCGGACUUGAGUGCGGAAGAGGGUCGUGGAAUUCCCAGUGUAGAGGUGAAAUUCGUAGAUAUUGGGAAGAACACCGGUGGCGAAGGCGGCGACCUGGUCCGAUACUGACGCUGAGGCGCGAAAGCGUGGGGAGCAAACAGG
rnacentral:rRNA from 1 species